UUACGGUCAAAUCACGCUGAAAACACUGGUUCUCGUUCGAUCACCGAAGUUAAGCAUCGUAGAGCCAGGUCAGUAC